CUCUACACAAGCUUGCUCUUCCCUGCUGCCAUGUAAGAUGUGACUUGCUCCUCCUUGCCUUCCACCAUGAUUGUGAGGCCUCCCCAGCCACAUGGAACUACCAGCCAACACUUACGGAAAAUAGAACCUACGUUGAAAUAUUGGGGGCUGGUUUCCUCUAUACAAGAGGAGUCAUGAAUAUUUAUGAAAGGAGAAAUCGCACAUGCACAGCAAGGCAAUUUACUUCUAUAGAAGGGUGCGCCCUCACAGAUGGAGCAAUGAAUGUGAAUUCGAAUUGUUGCAGAAUGUCAAAGGAGAACUCUUCCUGCUGUCUCAGAAUUUCAGCUGGAGCUACAGAGAUCAAAGAGAGGUUGUUAAAUACCCACUAAUUUGAAAGCGAGUUGACAGGCCAGCUGUGCAGAACAUGCUAAGGGGUAACCCCAAAAGACAGAUAAGCCUUUGUCUAUGACGUGCCUCAAGCCAAUACAAGGAGAAAAAAGAAGAGCAAUAAAGGAAAGACCAUGAGGAUGGGUUUCUGUGAGAAGAGCUGUAGAUUUUUCCUUUCUUCUCCAUACCUUGAGCCAAGUUGGGAGGUUGUAAAAAUCCUCUGACAGAGCUUGGGUGUGCUUCCUGCCAGGAGGAAGACUAACCUGGAACAAGCGGGUGGGGAGAGACCUUCAGAGAAUUUGGACUCCCUACAGUCGGGGGCACAGGGUUUUGUGUUGACUUGCACUUGUAGAAGUCCGAUGCCAGCCGGGCGCGGUGGCUCACGCCUGUAAUCCUAGCACUUUGGGAGGCUGAGGCGGGUGGAUCACGAGGUCAGGAGAUCGAGACCAUUCUGGCUAACACUGUGAAACCCCGUCUCUACUAAAAAAAAAAUGCAAAUUAGCCAGGUGUGGUGGCGGCGCCUGUAGUCCCAGUUACUCGGGAGGCUGAGGCAGGAGAAUGGCGUGAACCCGGGAAGCGGAGCUUGUAGUGAGCCGAGAUUGCACCACUGCACUCCAGCCUGGGCGACAGAGCGAGACUCUGUCAAAAAAAAAAAAAGAAAAAAGAAAAAAAAGAAAGAAAGAAGGAAAGAAAAAAUUCCGAUGCCAAUAGGCUGGGCUGCCUGUAGUGGGCCUUAUAGAAGGAAGAGCCAAGAGGCUUUUGAUGGAAGUGAAUUCUAUUUUUGCUCAUCCCAAACCAAGGGUACUAUUUCCAGAGGUCUCUUGGAACUCUAGAAGCUAUCUGGCCUUCGAUUGUUUGGAAAAUGAUCCCACCCCAAAGGGCUUCCUGCUGAGGAAAGAUGAAUCUGGUUGAAAGAGGCUGGUCUGUACUGUCGGAUGCAGAAGGAAAGGCAAAGGAUGGAAGGAGCAAAGCUUUUAAGCUGCCAGUAAGAGACUGUAUUAUCACCACAGGCAAGAGGAGUGCUGAGUAAGGUCUGCAGCAAGAGGUGCGGUUGGAUUUCUGAGGAGCCCACCGUACUCCAAGGAGCAGAAGAACUGGCCCUGUGGCAUCAGCUGCACCAUUUCAGAUUAUAACAUUCCAGUCUAACAUUCCAUUUGAUUCUUUGUUCUCUUUCCCAGCUUCAAGCUUGAAGAGCUGGAGACAGCAGAGAGAGUGGAAGAGUGGGAGGAACAGGAGAUCAGUAAAGUAGAUAAACAGGAAAGAAAGAAACCCUACUUCUUUCUCCAGUGCAGACUUCUGAGACUGAUCAGCCUCUAUGUGGGGCUACAAAAAUUGUAGGCUUUAACAGUUGAAUAUGAAACUAUUUAUUAAACUUCAAGGUGAAGAUAAAAGAUAUGGGAACCUCAUAAGCUUUCAUGCAGAGAGGGAUGAAUUGACAAAGUGGUUUUAAUAGGAUAGCAGGGAGGGGGGAAGGAAACAGCUGCUUUCUAUUUGUACUGACUCCCUCAUUAAAGUCACUGCAUUACAUUCAUCAGAAUUAGGGAUAUUUGGAAUGAAAGUAAUAACUCCAAUUUUAUUUCUUCAAAUGUGAAUUUAUAUGUUAGUUUGGGUUCCUCCAAAACAAGCUGAGAUAAAGAUUAAGAUGCAAUUUAUUUUGGGUGUGAUUCUCAAAAACAGCAGCAGAGGAAUGUGGAAUGAAGGCAGCUAACAAAGAAUUCAUUUUAAAGCAAGUUAUAUGGUUGGUUAGUAGAGCUCAACACCACUGGAAGAACUCUGGAAGUCAGGAUAGGGCACAUGCUUCAGAGUUAUCCCAAUGAAGACAAAAGAGAACUGUGAUGUUCCUAAAUCAACUGCUGUUAGUCUUUGUUAGAGAUCUACACUUGGAGAGGCAUUCAUUCUCUGGCACUUCUAGACUGCAAUAUAGAUGGCAAGAAGACACUGCCAGCAAGAAUAGCUCUCAGGCAAUAUAUAUGCAUGCUGGCAAGAGCUGCACUGCAAUAGGGCAAGAAAAUGUAAACAGGGAACUGACAAAAUCAAGUAUGUACCAUGGAUCAUAUAUUAAGAUGGGAGAGUAAAACAUAGCUCCAUCUUUUCUAUUGGGGAAUUUUAAGAAUAGACGUAAGUUCUCUCUUGGGAAGCUUUAUGUGUAAUGUGUCUGAAGCAAAGAAUAUUGAACAAGUCCUGUGCGUUUCUAUCAGAGCUAUUACAUAUAGUUAUAAAAAGGAGACAUUUUUAUUUGUACUAGAGGUCAGACUUCUCAAGUUUUAAAGUUUAGAAAUGUUUUAAAGGAACAAAAGCCCCAUUUUGAAUAAGAAUAGAAUUUUCUCUGAUACUUAAAGACCAGUAGGAGUUAACUCAGGUCUUUCUAAUUGUUGUAUAUGUGAUAAAAAAGAAGCUAAUGCACUAUUCAAAGUUUAAACAUUAUAUAAUGCUCACUGACACUGUUUUUAAGCAAUUAUUUACAUAACAACUACUUAAGAUAAUCUAUGGAAUAAUUUUAUAUUCAAGAAAUGAACAUAUUUAGGAAACAUAUUAACAUUCAGUAAUUGUUUAUUAAUUUCUAUCAGGUGUUCUUAUAUACUAGACACAAGCCAUGCAGCAGGGCAUAAGGCAGGAGGCAGGAUUCUUGCUCUCUAGUGGGGAAGUUCAAUAUAAAAGGGAAGAAAAUAAAUGACCUAAUUUCACACAGUCACAUAAUAAAUAUAUAAUUACAAACUGAAAAUGCUACAGAGGAAAAAUGGAGUAUACUUGGGAAGUUUAAGUUUUAAGAUGGAUUUUAAUUUUUCAUAUAACUUUCUCUUUUUUUGAAUUCUCCCACAUAUCAUGUUAAUAUGACAAAAUUGACACAUACUCAAGCUCAUGGCUGAAAGUAUAUUUGAAAAGUCAAAUACAUAGAAACAGAAAGUAGAAUUUUGGUUACUAGGCACAGGGAAGGGGAGGAAAUGGGGAGAUAAAGGCCAAAGGGUACAAACAUGCAAUUUGUGGACUACGAGGACUGUAGUUAAUAAUACUGUUUACUGAAAAUUUGCUAAGAGAGUAGAUUUUAGGGGCUUUUACUAUAAAAUAGGUAACUAUGGUAAUAUAUAAGUUAAUUUGCUUGACUGUAGCAAUUAUUUCACUAUGUAUAUCAAAACAUCAUGUUAUAUACCCCAAGUAUAGACAAUAAAAUUAAAAACAGCACAUGUCAACAGAAUUGAGCAGUGUGAAAAAUCAGAUUACCUUUUAGAAAGAACACUUGUACAGCAUUCAGAAUGACUAAAAUUAAAAAAAAUAGCAACAACACAAAUGCUGGUGAGGAUGUAGAGAAACUGGAUCACUCAUGCAUUGCUGGUGGGAAUGCGAAAUUGUUCAGCCAUUCUGGAAAAGUAGUUUGCUUGUUUCUUAAAGAAAACUCAACAUGCAACUACUAUAUGAUUCAACAAUUAUACUCGAGGGUAUGUAACCCAGGGAAACAAAAACUUAUGUUCUCACAAAACCUGCAUAUAAAUGUUUGCAGUAGAUUUAGUAGAUUUGCUAGUCAUGUCUAAAACUGGAAACAACCCAGAUGUUUUUCAGAGUGAAUGGUUAAACACAUAUGGUCCUACCAUAUCACGGAAUACUACUCAGCAAUAAGAAAGAACAAACAAUACAACCAGGAAUCUCCAGAGAAUUAUGUUAAUUGUAAAAGCCAAUCCUAAAAGGUGGCUUAUUAUAUGAUUUCAUUUAUAUGACAGUCUUUAAAAUGCAAAGUUAUAAAAAUGGAAAAUAGAUUACUGGUUGUUUGGGGUUUAGGAGGGAGUGGAAGUGGGAGAGAGGUGAGGGCAAUUAUAAAAGAGCAACAUAAGGAAGCCUUGUGAUGAUGGAAACGUUCUGUAUCUUGACUGUGCCAUUAUCAAUGUCCCAAUUGUGAUAUUUUACUAUAGUAUUGCAAGAUGCUAUCAUUGAGGAAAACGGGGUAAAGGGUACAGGGGGUCACACUGUAUUAUUUCUUACAAGGGCAUGUGAAUUUUCAAUUAUCUCAAAGUAAAAGUUUCAAUUAAAUAGAUAGCAUCUUUUAAAUGCAAGAAUAGGAGGUUAUUUUGUGUACUGGUGGCAGGCAAAAGUUUCUUUUUUCUUAAUAUAGUUUAUAAAGAAAAUAGAUACAUUAAAUAUCAAAAUUAAUACCUUUUGUUGAUCAAAAUAAAUAUACCCUUAAGAAAAUGAAUAGGCAAGGCAGAAUUUGUAGAAAACAAAUCAAACAAAACGUAUAUCCACAAUCUAUGUCUAUACCUAUACUUCAUUUUUUAUUUUUCAUAAAUAAAAAUAAAACAAUAAAAGGUGGGCAGAAUAACUGGCAAGAAACUUUAUGAACAUUUAUGAAUGCCCAAAAAAAGACAUACAAGUCUUUAUCCUCAUCAUUUAUUGAAUAAAUACAAAUGGAAAUCAAAGUCAAAUACCACUAGAUACUUAUUAGAAUAGAUAAAAUCUAAAAACUGAAAACAUUGAAUGUUGGCCAGCUUGUGGCACACCUGGAACUCUCAUGUGUUGUUGGUGGGAAUGUCAAAGUCUACCGCUUGUCAAAAUCUUUCUUUGAAAGUUCGG
rnacentral:lncRNA from 10 species